CUCAGUCCUCACUCUCACUGGAACUCACCGGUCGUUGCUGGCUAAGUCUUGUUUACAACUCGCCGGUCGCUGCUGCUGCCAGUAGCACUGUUCAAAUAUAGUCUGGUAAGCCAAAGUGUUUGAUUAAACCCAUUUAUUAUGUUCAUUUGUCCCAUUCAAUGUUGGUAGAAAUGUAGUACUGAUUUUUUUUUUUCCAUUUACGUUGUUUAAGUAGUUGAGUUAAUAAUGAACAAACAAUGUCGUAAGAAAUGUAUUCCCAACUGUUGUGGUUAAGUUUCUUUUUUGUAUCCACUUAAUAAUUCUUGGGCACCCUUGGCGUAACCGGUAAAGUUGUCUCCAUGCGACGAGGAGGUCACGGGUUCAAGCCGUGGAAACAACCUCUUGCAAUGCAGGGUAAGGCUGCGUAUAGUAGACCCUUGUGGUCCGGCACUUCCAACUCCACGCAUAGCAGGAGCUUAGUGUACCGCCUGCCCUAAUAAUUCUGUUAGGGCAAAAAAUCUGUCAAAAUGUUAUUUUUUCCCUUGUUUUAAACUUGUCCUGUUUAAAUGAUCAAAUAUUCCCCACUCCAUUGUGUGCAGGGACUCUCUUAAUAGAUGGAAUCUUCAACCGGAAUAAAGGUGGAGAUGAUUGUCAACAAUCAUCCGGCUAUGCCGGUAGUACCUCAAAAGAAAGGUAAAAGCGCUCCUUAUACAGUCCCUCCUCUCAAAAAGCAAAAAAGAACUGGUAAUACUGGAAGAGAAACGUCUGAAAUUUGGGAUCACUUCACCAAAUUUAUUGAUAAAGG
rnacentral:lncRNA from 1 species